GGGUUGUGAGGUUAAGCGACUAAGCGUACACGGUGGAUGCCCUGGCAGUCAGAGGCGAUGAAGGGCGUGCUAAUCUGCGAUAAGCGCCGGUAAGGUGAUAUGAACCGUUAUAACCGGCGAUACCCGAAUGGGGAAACCCAGUGUGACUCGUCACACUAUCAUUAACUGAAUCCAUAGGUUAAUGAGGCGAACCGGGGGAACUGAAACAUCUAAGUACCCCGAGGAAAAGAAAUCAACCGAGAUUCCCCCAGUAGCGGCGAGCGAACGGGGAGGAGCCCAGAGCCUGAAUCAGCAUGUGUGUUAGUGGAAGCGUCUGGAAAGGCGCGCGAUACAGGGUGACAGCCCCGUACACAAAAGCGCAUGUGCUGUGAGCUCGAUGAGUAGGGCGGGACACGUGGUAUCCUGUCUGAAUAUGGGGGGACCAUCCUCCAAGGCUAAAUACUCCUGACUGACCGAUAGUGAACCAGUACCGUGAGGGAAAGGCGAAAAGAACCCCGGCGAGGGGAGUGAAAAAGAACCUGAAACCGUGUACGUACAAGCAGUGGGAGCACCCUUUGGGUGUGACUGCGUACCUUUUGUAUAAUGGGUCAGCGACUUAUAUUCUGUAGCAAGGUUAACCGAAUAGGGGAGCCGGAGGGAAACCGAGUCUU
rnacentral:rRNA from 1 species